UACGAAGGGGGCUAGCGUUGCUCGGAAUCACUGGGCGUAAAGCGCACGUAGGCGGCUUCUUAAGUCAGGGGUGAAAUCCUGGAGCUCAACUCCAGAACUGCCUUUGAUACUGAGGAGCUUGAGUCCGAGAGAGGUGAGUGGAACUGCGAGUGUAGAGGUGAAAUUCGUAGAUAUUCGCAAGAACACCAGUGGCGAAGGCGGCUCACUGGCCCGGUACUGACGCUGAGGUGCGAAAGCGUGGGGAGCAAACAGG
rnacentral:rRNA from 1 species